rnacentral:rRNA from 1 species
GACAGAGGGCGCGAGCGUUGUUCGGAAUUACUGGGCGUAAAGCGUGCGUAGACGGUUAUUUAAGUCGGAUGUGAAAGCCCCGGGCUCAACCUGGGAAUUGCAUUCGAGACUGAAUAGCUAGGGUACGGUAGAGGGAAGUGGAAUUUCCGGUGUAGCGGUGAAAUGCGUAGAUAUCGGAAGGAACAUCAGUGGCGAAAGCGACUUCCUGGACCAGUACCGACGUUCAGGCACGAAAGCGUGGGGAGCAAACAGG